AAUUUUUAAUUAUUACUAUUAAACGUGUUUACAGCGCAGAGGUUUAUUGGUAACUGAAUUCAAAUUAUGUAUACUUGCUGCACACAGGCAGCGUCAAAAUAUGCGAACAAAGA